rnacentral:snRNA from 1 species
UUUCUACCAUCCGAUCAAC